UCCUACGGGGGGCAGCAGUAGGGAAUAUUGCACAAUGGGGGGAACCCUGAUGCAGCGACGCCGCGUGGGUGAAGAAGCGCCUCGGCGCGUAAAGCCCUGUCAGCAGGGAAGAAAAUGACGGUACCUGAAGAAGAAGCCCCGGCUAACUACGUGCCAGCAGCCGCGGUAAUACGUAGGGGGCAAGCGUUAUCCGGAUUUACUGGGGGUAAAGGGGGCGCAGACGGCGAUGCAAGCCAGGAGUGAAAGCCCGGGGCCCAACCCCGGGACUGCUCUUGGAACUGCGUGACUGGAGUGCGGGAGGGGCA
rnacentral:rRNA from 1 species